AAAAUCCGGGGUGCUCUAUGCUGAGAUCUGAUAGCAAGCUGUACUUGUACAGCGAAGUGGCUGAUACCAUGCUUCCAGGAAAAGUCUCUAAGCUUCAGUUACACAGGAAUCGUACCCGAAACCGACACAGGUGGUCAGGUCGAGUAGACCAAGGCGCUUGAGAGAACUCUGCUGAAGGAACUAGGCAAAAUGGUACCGUAACUUCGGGAGAAGGUACGCUGCUGACGGUGAUGACCCUUGCGGUCUGAGCUAUUGGCAGCCGCAGAAACCAGGCCGCUGCAACUGUUUAUUAAAAACAUAGCACUCUGCAAACACGAAAGUGGACGUAUAGGGCGUGAUGCCUGCCCGGUGCUGGAAGGUUAAUUGAUGGGGUUAGCGUAAGCGAAGCUCUUGAUCGAAGCCCCAGUAAACGGCGGCCGUAACUAUAACGGUCCUAAGGUAGCGAAAUUCCUUGUCGGGUAAGUUCCGACCUGCACGAAUGGCAUAAUGAUGGCGGCGCUGUCUCCAGCAGAGGCUCAGUGAAAUCGAAAUCGCUGUGAAGAUGCAGUGUACCCGCGGCUAGACGGAAAGACCCCGUGAACCUUUACUGCAGCUUGACAUUGAACUUUGACCUUACUUGUGUAGGAUAGGUGGGAGGCUUUGAAGUUGGAACGCUAGUUCCAAUGGAGCCGUCCUUGAAAUACCACCCUGGUAAUGUUGAGGUUCUAACUCUGCCCCGUAAUCCGGGGCGAGGACCAUGUCUGGUGGGUAGUUUGACUGGGGCGGUCUCCUCCUAAAGAGUAACGGAGGAGUACGAAGGCGCGCUCAGCGUGGUCGGAAAUCACGCGUAGAGUAUAAAGGCAAAAGCGCGCUUAACUGCGAGACCCCCAAGUCGAGCAGGUACGAAAGUAGGUCUUAGUGAUCCGGUGGUUCUGUAUGGAAGGGCCAUCGCUCAACGGAUAAAAGGUACUCUGGGGAUAACAGGCUGAUACCGCCCAAGAGUUCAUAUCGACGGCGGUGUUUGGCACCUCGAUGUCGGCUCAUCUCAUCCUGGGGCUGAAGCAGGUCCCAAGGGUAUGGCUGUUCGCCAUUUAAAGAGGUACGCGAGCUGGGUUUAGAACGUCGUGAGACAGUUCGGUCCCUAUCUACCGUGGGCGCUGGAAAUUUGAGAGGAUCUGCUCCUAGUACGAGAGGACCAGAGUGGACGAACCUCUGGUGUACCGGUUGUCACGCCAGUGGCAUCGCCGGGUAGCUAUGUUCGGAAGGGAUAACCGCUGAAAGCAUCUAAGCGGGAAGCCUACCUCAAGAUAAGAUUUCCCUAGGAAUUUAUUCCUCUAAAGAGCCGUUCGAGACCAGGACGUUGAUAGGUUGGGUGUGGAAGCACGGUGACGUGUGAAGCUGACCAAUACUAAUUGCUCGUGAGGCUUGACU
rnacentral:rRNA from 1 species